rnacentral:lncRNA from 1 species
AAUUCCUUAGUCCCCUAGUCAGCCCCUCCACCUUGCAAUUCAGAGGAGGGGAAAUGGUAAGAAUGUGAUGGAGGGUGAAGAAGCCCAAGAUGGGUUCACAAGGACAUUCAUCCUCAUGGCACUGGGCAAUCUCAGGCUGUGCAAAACCAGUCUUCUGUGGUGACACAAUUUGGCUGCCAAAAGCCAUGACAGGAGCAUCUAUGAUCCUAUAAGUGGGAUUCACUUUGUGGGGAACAGAGGCCAGGGCUUCCUGCAUGUGGAGGCUGCCAUGUUUGUGCAAGACUGCAAUCACCCCAGAAGCUAUAUUUACAGGAAACACAGAGUUAAGUUUGAUGGAA